CAUGUUGCCUCGUGAUUUGUAAUUUAUGUGUGAACAUUUUCAAUUAACAUGCGUUGAAAUCAGAUUUUGUUGCAAGUUGCAGCAAUUUUGUUGCUCGUAUUACUCCAGCUAUAAUACGGAAUUCAAUACAAAAUUCCAUAGUUAGAUCAAUAGGACAAUGAACCAUGCAAUGAACUGAUUACUACUGCCUGUACCUGGCUUAGUACGCACCUCGUUAAUUGGUUAAUAUCAAACGCAUCUGAUUGGUUAAUCGGAUAUAUCAAACGUAUCUAAUUGGUUAAUGGGCCGUGAAUGGUUAGCAGUAGUGGCAGUUACAUCUUAAACCUCUCCAGUGAAAGUAGGGACACAGAACUGUGAAAGAUAUGAUGUAACAUUGUAACGCCUGCUUUCUAAAUGUUUCCUAAUAGACUAAAUAUUAUAUAUAAAUGUCACUCAUCUAAAGUAAGUUUCUCAUUUGUUUGAAAUUUACGUUAUCAUCUUGACAGUCUUUUUAACUUAUCCAGGGGCUGGUUGUUCAAAGCUGGGUUAGUUCUAUUCCUGGGUUAGAAUUUACCUAAACUUGUCAUUUCAGUUUUUGUACUUUUGCCCAUUUUAUUUUAAAACUUGAGAACUUCAAGAUUUCUGGAAAAAAUACUUGCAUGUUUAAUAUAAAGCAGCUGUUGGGGAAUAUUGCUUUAAAGUUUUUUGUUCAUCCAAGAUUAAGAUAACCUGCUUUUGAACAACCAGCCCAGGGGUGUAGGAAGCGUCAAAAGAUUGGGGGGGGCACCACCUUCCAGGGGCACUUUUUGAUAUUGAAAAGGGCACCUAAAAAAUUUUUCCCGGACAUGCAUAUUGGCGAUGGG